GCCGAGUCAAGUCACGCUGACUUGUGACCCAAAGUGGGGGCAAUAAGGAUGGCAUGGAAGGGAAGAGUGUGUAACGUCGUCC
rnacentral:sRNA from 1 species